rnacentral:lncRNA from 1 species
ACGAACUCAUCUUGAGAUGACACGUGUCGGCCCACUUCUCCUAUGUACGCAGAUAACUGCCCACGUUUUAGCCACCCACGAUCAUCCCUCAUCUUAGAGAUACCCUUCGACUUCGACUGUACCUUUUGAUGUCUACCCAUGAAUUGUCUAACUUCUCGUCGACCUCAUAUUCCGACGGACUUCCUAGUUGAGUGGGAUUUACCUUCUUUGGCCGAAAUUUGUCAGCUAACAUGGACUAAACAUCAACAAUUAAAAAGUGAUUUAAAAAACAACAAUUAACCUAAUGACUUUAAUCAAUUACACAUAUGAAUAUUCAUCAUUUUUUAACACAAAAAACAUUGAUAAAAUAUGGUAGUAAAUGCAUGGCAAAAAUGCUAAAAAAUAUGAUAAACAAAUAGAAAGAAAAAAAUAAAAAACAUAGGGGGUUUAGGGUUGAAACUAGGGUGUGAUAAGCAGUCCAGGGCGCAGGCCCAAGUUCAAUUGGUUUGGGUUCAGGGGGGUGUAGGCAAGGACUAAGAGGCGUAAGAAAACAAUAUUGAUGGGACAAGGUAAUAUGCCCAAACGUAGCGUCCAUGAGAGAGGGGAGAGACUCAAUUCACUCCCAUUCCACAUGUUCAGUACGUUUUUUUCCAGAUUCCUUGGCCUGAAAACGGUGAUGACUCAUGUACCUUUUUCACUUUGAAUUCCUUCUUUCUACUCUCUCUUCGCUUCUUCUUCCCUACUACUUAUUUUAAAC